AUACGUAUGUUGCAAGCGUUAUCCGGAUUUAUUGGGCGUAAAGCGCGUCUAGGCGGCUUAGUAAGUCUGAUGUGAAAAUGCGGGGCUCAACCCCGUAUUGCGUUGGAAACUGCUAAACUAGAGUACUGGAGAGGUAGGCGGAACUACAAGUGUAGAGGUGAAAUUCGUAGAUAUUUGUAGGAAUGCCGAUGGGGAAGCCAGCCUCGUUGACAGAUACAGACGCUAAAGCGCGAAAGCGUGGGUAGCAAACAGGAUUAGAGACCCUGUUAGUCCACGCCGUAAACGAUGAUUACUAGGUGUUGGGGGUCGAACCUCAGCGCCCAAGCUAACGCGAUAAGUAAUCCGCCUGGGGAGUACGUACGCAAGUAUGAAACUCAAAUGAAUUGACGGGG
rnacentral:rRNA from 1 species